GGGGAAUAUUGCGCAAUGGAGGGAACUCUGACGCAGCGACGCCGCGUGAAGGAUGAAGGCUUUCGGGUUGUAAACUUCUGUCCUCAGGGAAGAGAAAGGACGGUACCUGAGGAGGAAGCCACGGCUAACUACGUGCCAGCAGCCGCGGUAAUACGUAGGUGGCAAGCGUUGUCCGGAAUUACUGGGUGUAAAGGGCAUGUAGGCGGGAAUGCAAGUUGGAUGUGAAAUACCAGGGCUCAACCCUGGGGGUGCAUCCAAAACUGUGUUUCUUGAGUACUGGAGAGGAAAGUGGAAUUCCUAGUGUAGCGGUGAAAUGCAUAGAUAUUAGGAGGAACACCAGUGGCGAAGGCGGCUUUCUGGACAGUAACUGACGCUGAGGCGCGAAAGCACGGGGAGCAAAC
rnacentral:rRNA from 1 species